AUGAUGUGGCUAUUCUCUUUGGCCAGAGAAUUGUGAUUUUGGGCGGCAAAUCCUUUUCCUCAUUUCUCAGCCAUUUUGUUAAAGCGCUGUUAUGCUCUUCAAUAUGGAAACUCCAAUCAAUUAGCAAUCAGUUGAAUUCUUCUCCAAUACGUUUCAAUCAAUCCUUAAAACCCUAAAACCUAAAUCACUGCCGUUAUCAAUUUUGGCGAUUACACAUCAAAGGACGAAUUUCAUUCUGUGUUCAUAUUUUCUUAUAUCAGUUUCCUCUUCAUUUGAUUUCAACAGUUCUCAAUCAGAUCACAUCAAAUCGGAUCAAAUCGGAUCAGAUCGGAAGACUCUGUUGUACAGUGUUAACAAUGGAAAAAACCAGCAACCAAUAACAAUCUGCCACAUGGAAGCUUCGUAUGGCUGUUUUUAGGUGAAACCAUAGAGUUCGUCCGUACACAAAGACAUGGAGCCCUGGAGAAAUUCGUGAGAAAUAGAAUGGAGAGAUAUGGAAGUCCUAUGGUUUUCAAAACAUCGUUGCUCGGCCACCAUAUGGUUGUCUUUUGUGUGCCUGAGGGGAACAAGUUUUUGUUUGGAAACGAGAACAAACUGGUGGCGUCGUGGUGGCCUGAAGCAAUCCAGAUGCUGUUUUGUAAAUGCUUAAAUACAAGCCGCGAAGAUGAAGCCCUGUAUAUAUAUAUAUAUAUAUAUAUAUAUAUAUAUAUAUAUAUAUAUAUAUAUAUCCAUGCAAGAAACCAAUGGAUUAAGUGGUGGAUACGUAUUCGAGAUCUUGAUGUAUACAGAACUUGGAUUUUAUUCAACACUUUCCUAAAAGGGCUAGGGGAACUGCCUAUCAAUAUCCCAGGGACACGGUUUGUUUUUUGGUUUUGAAAUGAGGGGAUUUAAGAAAAAAUAUGAAUUGAAGCUUUGUUUUCUUGUGGUGUUGUUCAUCUGCUUACCGGUUAAAGUUUAUAAGGAAUACGAUCUGUACGUGGAUUUUGGAGAUGUAUGUCUAAACCAGCAUGGCAGCCGAAAGAUCGCCCGCUUGCUUGCAAACAAGCAAGAAGAAUCCAGCUAAAGUUCCUAAACGGAUUCACAAAGCUGAAAGGGAAAAAGUAAAGCGUGAACAUUUGAAUGAACUCUUUCUUGAGUUGGCUGGUGCACUUGAACUCACAGAACAAAACAGUGGGAAAGCCUCGGUAUUAGGCGAAACCACUCGAGUUGUAAAGGACAUGAUUGAUCAUUGAUGAAACGUGUACGCUACAAUAACAAAUCAGUGAACUACAGAGCAUGAUAAAAGAGAGAAAUGUCCAAACAAACCUUGAUCUGAAUGCACCCGCGAUCGAAUUGCAAGAACCGCAAUUCCCGACUUAUUUUCCAUUGGAGUGGCUGCAGUUGUAUACAUGGAUUGUGGAUUUAACUAACAACAUAUGUUGAUGGUGAGCUCAUAAAAAGUUGUUUAUGUCGAAAAUGGUUAAAUGGUCAGCUUUUCAUGCUCAGAUCAGUUGUUCCAGAAUAUGUAAAUUGUACUAUCUGUUCGAUCUUGCUGGAGUCACGUAGACGGGUUUUAGGGUUUUCUGGUCAAUUGAUUUCAAGAAUUAGAUGCUAAAACCAUUCAUUCCACCAUAGGUAUGGCUUACGUUGACAAAAGUCUUCACAAUCUUCCUUCGGCAGUAGCUCCGGUUCAUUAAAACGCAGCCGGGUGACAAGGUAUGGAAAAAGGCGGUACACACAUUGGAGUUGGCUACCUUAUGAAGAAUCUUACAUAAAGAGUUCAAUGGUAGAUCGGUUCUGGUGACGAAAAUGUUGGUUGUAAUAAAAGCGGAUCCGUUCAAUUUGGCUGAAAAAUAGCUUGAUGGUGUUACCGACGAUUGCAGACGUGGACAAUGAGAGGUUCUAGGGUGUUAAACGGAAUGCUGACGUCUCAAGAGUGGUGCAUGUCAAAUGAUUUUACUAAAGAGUAGGUUAUCGAUCUAAGGUUAGGGUUCAGAUCAUCGUUUUCAGCAGUUAAGUGGAAGGAUAAGGAAGAAAGACUCCUGAUUUGGGCUUCCAUGACUCCACAAAAGUAUGAUGUUGCAAAAAACAUUGAAAGAUUUGGGCAAACAUAAAUGUCAAUCGUCCAGCAAAAGCUUAUAGUGGAAUUUGUAAAGAUUCAAAGUGAUGGUACGCUGGAAGUGGAUUAACAUG